GGAGCGAAGAGGACGGCUUUCUGGUAUGGCGCGGCCUUUGUCUCUUGCUGCCGCUGGAGCUCCAGAUCUCUUGUUCACUGCUCUGUGUUCUCUGCUCAUAGAGGCCCAGCCUCUGAGGCCCUUUGACCUGCAGGUAUUGGGAGAUCCACAGCCAAGAGCCAGGACCCCCUAGAAGUCUAGAAAUGAGUCUCACUCUGUUGCUGAGGCUGGGGUGCAAUGGCAUGAUCUCGGCUCACUGCAACCGCUGCCUCCCGGGUUCAAGCGAUUCUUCUGCCUCAGCCUCUUGAGUAGCUGGGAUUACAGACCUUAAACAGAUUCAGAGACCGUGGGGCCAACAAACUGAACUGGAGUAACAUGUGAAUUGAGUAGACAUGUAGACAAGAAAGUCUCCACUAUCCCCUUUCUACUCUUGCUGAAAUGCUCACUAAUGUGCAAGUAACACCUGCUGCUACUCCUGCCAUUCAGGACCUAAAUCUGUAGCUCCAUAUUUUGAAUCCAGAUCUUGAGAUUUGGGAAAUAAAAAACUUUUAUCUAAAAAGUGCAAGCACUUUUGGUUAUCAAACUCAGAGAGAUGUUAAAAUGAAAGAGCAGUUAACAUCUUUCUCUCCCCUUUGAACUAUGUAUUCAUCCCUUGAAACUGUUCACUAUUGCCACAAGUAGCUAUAAAGUAAAUUAACAAUGCCACAUUGGAUACUAUAUUCUAUACCCUAAACAAUAAUGAUAUAUAUCUAAUCAAUAAUCAAUAUUAUUUAUCUAAAUAAAUAAAAACUUCUGACAAACAACUUUGUAUCAGACCACUCUAUGUCCCUCUCUUGUCUUUACAAAUCUUGUAACUGCUGCUAAUCAAAGUGUAGAUUUCAGGCAACUUGAAUCUUUGCUCCCUGGUUAUAAUCCUUAAGCUUAAACCAAAUAAACUGUCUACUUAUAUUCUUGA
rnacentral:lncRNA from 1 species